rnacentral:rRNA from 1 species
UACGUAGGGUGCAAGCGUUGUCCGGAAUUAUUGGGCGUAAAGAGCUCGUAGGCGGUCUGUCGCGUCUGCUGUGAAAUCCCGCGGCUCAACUGCGGGUCUGCAGUCGAUACGGGCAGGCUAGAGUUCGGUAGGGGAGACUGGAAUUCCUGGUGUAGCGGUGAAAUGUGCAGAUAUCAGGAGGAACACCGGUGGCGAAGGCGGGUCUCUGGGCCGAUACUGACGCUGAGGAGCGAAAGCGUGGGGAGCGAACAGG